GAUGAACGCUGGCGGCGUGCCUAAUACAUGCAAGUCGAGCGAACAGACGAGGAGCUUGCUCCUCUGACGUUAGCGGCGGACGGGUGAGUAACACGUGGAUAACCUACCUAUAAGACUGGGAUAACUUCGGGAAACCGGAGCUAAUACCGGAUAAUAUAUUGAACCGCAUGGUUCAAUAGUGAAAGACGGUUUUGCUGUCACUUAUAGAUGGAUCCGCGCCGCAUUAGCUAGUUGGUAAGGUAACGGCUUACCAAGGCGACGAUGCGUAGCCGACCUGAGAGGGUGAUCGGCCACACUGGAACUGAGACACGGUCCAGACUCCUACGGGAGGCAGCAGUAGGGAAUCUUCCGCAAUGGGCGAAAGCUUGACGGAGCAACGCUGCGUGAGUGAUGAAGGUCUUCGGAUCGUAAAACUCUGUUAUUAGGGAAGAACAAAUGUGUAAGUAACUAUGCACGUCUUGACGGUACCUAAUCAGAAAGCCACGGCUAACUACGUG
rnacentral:rRNA from 1 species